UGGGGAAUAUUGCACAAUGGGCGCAAGCCUGAUGCAGCCAUGCCGCGUGUGUGAAGAAGGCCUUCGGGUUGUAAAGCACUUUCAGCGGGGAGGAAGGCGUUAAGGUUAAUAACCUUGUCGAUUGACGUUACCCGCAGAAGAAGCACCGGCUAACUCCGUGCCAGCAGCCGCGGUAAUACGGAGGGUGCAAGCGUUAAUCGGAAUUACUGGGCGUAAAGCGCACGCAGGUGGUCUGUCAAGUCGGAUGUGAAAUCCCCGGGCUUAACCUGGGAACUGCAUUCGAAACUGGCAGGCUAGAGUCUUGUAGAGGGGGGUAGAAUUCCAGGUGUAGCGGUGAAAUGCGUAGAGAUCUGGAGGAAUACCGGUGGCGAAGGCGGCCCCCUGGACAAAGACUGACGCUCAGGUGCGAAAGCGUGGGGAGCAAACGGGAUUAGAUACCCUGGUAGUCCACGCCGUAAACGAUGUCGAUUUGGAGGUUGUGCCCUUGAGGCGUGGCUUCCGGAGCUAACGCGUUAAAUCGACCGCCUGGGGAGUACGGCCGCAAGGUUA
rnacentral:rRNA from 1 species